rnacentral:rRNA from 1 species
UACGUAGGGUGCGAGCGUUGUCCGGAAUUAUUGGGCGUAAAGAGCUCGUAGGCGGCUUGUCGCGUCGGAUGUGAAAGCCCGGGGCUUAACUCCGGGUCUGCAUUCGAUACGGGCAGGCUAGAGUUCGGUAGGGGAGAUCGGAAUUCCUGGUGUAGCGGUGAAAUGCGUAGAUAUACGGAGGAACACCUGCGGCGAAGGCGGGAUAGCUGGGCCAACACUGACGCUAAAGCGCGAAAUG